rnacentral:tRNA from 1 species
CGGGGUGUAGCGCAGCCUGGUAGCGCAACAGUCUGGGGGACUGUAGGUCCCGGGUUCAAAUCCCGGCACCCCGA